GACGAACGCUGGCGGCGUGCUUAACACAUGCAAGUUGAACGGAAAGGCCCGGUUUUUGUGGCGAGCUCGUGUGGCGAACAGGUGAGUAUAACGCGAGUAACAUGCGCUUUACAUUGGGAUAACACCAGUGAACUGGGACGAAUACCGGAUAUGAGCACCUUCUGCAUAGGUUUUGAGUGUGAGAGUCGGCGUUUGGGGAUGGACUCGCGGUUUAGCAUCGUGUUGGUGGGUUAGUGGAUUACCAAGGCAUUGACGGGAAGCCGGCCUGAGAAGGUGACCGGCCACAUUGGGACUGAGAUGCGGCCAAGACUCAUACGGGAGGAAGCAGUGGGGAAUAUUGCACGAUGGGCGGAAGGAUGAUGCAGCAACGCCGCGUGCGGGAUGACAGUCUUCGGGUUGGAAACCGCUUUAGCCUGUGACGAAGAGUGAGUGACGGUAAUGGGUCAAGAAGCACCGGCUAACUACGUG
rnacentral:rRNA from 1 species